CGUAGGGUGCGAGCGUUAAUCGGAAUUACUGGGCGUAAAGCGUGCGCAGGCGGUUUGUUAAGAUAGGCGUGAAAUCCCCGGGCUCAACCUGGGAACUGCGCUUAUGACUAGCAAGCUAGAGUACGGCAGAGGGGGGUGGAAUUCCACGUGUAGCAGUGAAAUGCGUAGAGAUGUGGAGGAACACCAAUGGCGAAGGCAGCCCCCUGGGUCGAUACUGACGCUCAUGCACGAAAGCGUGGGUAGCAAACAGGAUUAGAUACCCUGGUAGUCCACGCCCUAAACGAUGUCAACUAGGUGUUGGAUGGGUAAAACCAUUUAGUACCGGAGCUAACGCGUGAAGUUGACCGCCUGGGGAGUACGGCCGCAAGGUCA
rnacentral:rRNA from 1 species